AGCAGUCGCCACGGUAAUACAGAGGGUGCGAGCGUUAAUCGGAUUUACUGGGCGUAAAGCGUGCGUAGGCGGCUUCUUAAGUCGGAUGUGAAAUCCCUGAGCUUAACUUAGGAAUUGCAUUCGAUACUGGGAAGCUAGAGUAUGGGAGAGGAUGGUAGAAUUCCAGGUGUAGCGGUGAAAUGCGUAGAGAUCUGGAGGAAUACCGAUGGCGAAGGCAGCCAUCUGGCCUAAUACUGACGCUGAGGUACGAAAGCAUGGGGAGCAAACAGGAUUAGAUACCCGAGUAGUCCCUGUCUCUUAUAC
rnacentral:rRNA from 1 species